AGCUUCAUGGUCGAGUGGUAGGAAGGACACUUGCCACUCACCCCAGAGUCCCGGGUUCGAUCCCCGAUCGAGGAGCUA